GAAAACCUCUUCAGGGAGUGGUUUUUCCAUUCUAACAUAGGCAUCUCAAAGAGGUAGAAUGAGUCACUUAACUGGAUGUGGCUCUCUCUCUUCACUGACUAUAGAUCUUCUGCACACAGUUCCAUGCUACAAGGUGUCUAAAAGCUGGAGUUAUAAACCACAGUCCCUGUUGAAGGUGGACGUAUAGCUGGAAAUCGGUGGUCCUGGAAUACUGCAGUAGCUCUGCUGACAGUGAGUUAUAAUUUACUCUGCAUGGAGUUUCACUGAUUUCAGAUGGAUGGCCUGUGGAGUACAAUGCUACCCAGCAUCAGACAGUCAUACAGCUGAACUGAAAGGUGCAUGCCCUGCCCAUGAACUCCCUCAUGUAGAAAAACUCUUAGAUGCUACAUGAAGAGGAGGCCGCCAUUCCCUGUGGAGGGAAGAGCUGGAGGGAAGCAGCGACUCCAGGCUCUGAGGUUUCUGCAGGUUGGACUGUGGUAUUUUCCACAGGGGUAAGCAGCAUCCCAGUCUCCAUGCAAGGUACGAAUUUAUGGUUCCUACCUCCAAGUCCUGCUGACCUCAAAACACAAACAGAGCUGGAAUCUACUGC